rnacentral:rRNA from 1 species
GGGAAUAUUGCACAAUGGGGGAAACCCUGAUGCAGCGACGCCGCGUGAAGGAAGAAGUAUCUCGGUAUGUAAACUUCUAUCAGCAGGGAAGAAAACAGACGGUACCUGACUAAGAAGCCCCGGCUAACUACGUGCCAGCAGCCGCGGUAAUACGUAGGGGGCAAGCGUUAUCCGGAAUUACUGGGUGUAAAGGGAGCGUAGACGGUGAUGUAAGUCUGGAGUGAAAGGCGGGGGCCAAACCCCCGGACUGCUCUGGAAACUAUGUGACUGGAGUGCAGGAGAGGUGAGCGGAAUUCCUAGUGUAGCGGUGAAAUGCGUAGAUAUUAGGAGGAACACCAGUGGCGAAGGCGGCUCACUGGACUGUAACUGACGUUGAGGCUCGAAAGCGUGGGGAGCAAACAG